rnacentral:lncRNA from 13 species
GGGGGCUGUGGGGAGAGGUGGGGUGUUCCCUGCUCCCUCCUCAUCCCAGAUGAACACAGCUCAGACCUGGUCCCCUAGGCCUGGUCCCUAAGAUUCCUUCCUCACAUCCCUGUGCCUGUUUCCUUUGGGGACACUGAUUUUGUCCUCGCAGCCAGCAGUCCAGGCAGUCCUCACCUGCCCCAUUUGGCAAAUGAGAAAACUGAGGCCCAGAGAGAGGGCGUGCAGGGGUCCAAGCCUCGAGACUGGGGAAGGUCAAAUUUGAACCUUCGUCCCUGUUUCUCCAGUGUCUGCGGCCUUCAGUCCUGGGCAACACUUUCUGAUGAGCUCAGUGAUGAAGCUUUGGCUGCUCCGGUGGGUGCCCCGCAGAGCAUAGAAAUGAUCACAGUGUUCCCUGACUCCCGCUCCAGCCAAGCCCUGGGCCCUGCGCCAACACCGCGUUCGAGGCGUCUCCUUCACUCCUUUCUGCGGUGGGGCUUCGAGGAAGGCGCUGGGCGGGCCAGGGGCCUGUUCCUCUGAGGCCUGCAGUUGGGGCCGAUGGGGUUGAGCCAGGGGCUGGGAGCCUGUGAGGUCAUCCUCCGUCCACACUGGCAGCUCCGUCCUGCAGCCAGGGGAGGAGACAGCUGGGAAACUCCCUGGGCUGGUCAGACCAGCAGCCAGGACAGCUUCAGGAGGUGGCCCUGGCCGCUGGAUAACUUCACGGGUCUUUCCCACCCUGAGUCACCGGGACUCACUGACCCCUUGGGAGGGGUCGCCUUUGGAGGGAGGGGUGGUGGCCGGUUCAGCUGGGUGGGCUGGUGGGAGGUGGGGCUGGGCUCUGUUACCUAACGGUGGUGGGGGGGCAGCUGGGAAAGGAUGCAGGGUUGUGGCAUUGCUUCUGGGGUGCUGUGUGAAGCCAUCAAUCUUCUCCCCUCUCUGGGCCUCGGAAAUAUAUCACCCCCUCUGGGGGCGUUGGUUCAUCUUGAAUCCCUCAUCUCCCAGCUCCGGCCUGAUGGAAUGGGCUGCCCCAGAGCGAAGGGAGGAAUCGUCUCUGUCUGUCUCCUCCCCACCUGCACUCCACACAGGUGUGAAUCAGCCCAGGGCUCCUCUCUGUUCUCCACAUGUGGCUGUGGCGUGUUGAAUGCAGAAGUUUCACAGGCAUGUACCAGACGCUGCAUUCUGGAAAUGGCUCUGGCCGUUGGUGCAUGUGAGGGCAGCUCCCGGAUUUUCCUGGUUACACACGAAGCCACUGUGAACACUUUUGCCGUGUCUCUUCUGCACGUGCUUGAUGAUUUCUGGAGGCUAGAAGAUCCCGUAGAAGGAGAAUUGCUGGGUAAAAGGUUUUAGGAGAGGAGACUUCGGGAGAACAUCUGUUCUGAGACCUCACUUCAGGACCCAGGAGUGACAUCCUCCAAAACCUGUCUGGGUUUCUGCUUCCCUGGAAUGGGCUUGGAGAAAGCAGAGGAGAUAGGACUGGGAAGCCUGGAACUCUGGGGCUACGAGGGAGCUCUGGCAGCAGGUGAGUGAAAUGCUUUCCUCCCACCUGGGCACCCAGCUCUUCUACCCAGAGGCUGCCUUUCCAGCUGAGGUGCCAGGCCAGCUGGGCC